UCUACUUUUGUUUCUUGAAAACAAACUACGGGACAAAAGUGCUUAGACACGACAGUCUUUACCGCACGACGCUUGACCGGGUCGUUCAGACCCCGAACAUUCCAAGAGAUAAUAUUAAACAUCAGAAACUGCUACCCCCCAAAAUAUAAAACCACACCGAAACCCGCCCCUCAGCAAAUUAUCCGCUCAACAUAAACUUGUGGAGCUCCUCCGCGUCAACCUCCGA
rnacentral:lncRNA from 1 species